CCCUUAGAUGUCCUGGGCCGCACGCGCGCUACACUGAUGCAUGCAACGAGUUUAUAACCUUGGCCUGAAAGGUCUGGGUAAUCUUUUGAACGUGCAUCGUGCUAGGGAUAGAUUAUUGCAAUUGUUAAUCUUGAACGAGGAAUUCCUAGUAAACGCGAGUCAUCAGCUCGCAUUGAUUACGUCCCUGCCCUUUGUACACACCGCCCGUCGCACCUACCGAUUGAAUGGUUCGGUGAAGAUCUCGGACUUCGAUAUUUAUUCUUUAUUGAGUUUAUAUUGUGGGAAGUUAUCUAAACCUCAUCAUUUAGAGGAAGGUGAAGUCGUAACA
rnacentral:rRNA from 1 species